rnacentral:rRNA from 1 species
ACGUAGGGGGCAAGCGUUGAUCGGAAUCACUGGGCUUACAGCGCGUGUAGGCGGGGCGGCAGGUCUUCUGUGAAAGCCCCCGGCUCAACCGGGGAAUUGCAGGGGAAACCGCCGCUCUUGAGGCAGGUAGAGGUGACCGGAACGUGUGGUGGAGCGGUGAAAUGCGUAGAUAUCUAGAGGAACGCCAGUGGCGAAAGCGGGGCACUGGGCCAGUUCUGACGCUGAGGCGCGAAAGCGUGGGGAGCAAACAG